UGCCGGGAAUUGCAGUCCCCUCAGGAAAGUAGCGUCUUGAUCUGUGUGGCGUGGCUCUGUACCUUGGGAGGAGAUGAAUGGGAAGCGGCCAGCGGAACCCGGCCCAGCCCGGGUGGGAAAAAAGAGAAAGAAGGAGGUGAUGGCCGAGUUUUCGGACGCUGUUACGGAAGAAACCUUGAAAAAGCAGGUGGCUGAGGCCUGGAGCCGCAGGACACCGUUCAGUCACGAAGUCAUUGUCAUGGACAUGGACCCUUUUCUUCACUGUGUGAUCCCAAACUUCAUCCAAAGCCAAGACUUCUUGGAAGGGCUUCAGAAGGAACUGAUGAACUUGGACUUCCAUGAGAAGUAUAAUGAUUUAUAUAAGUUCCAGCAGUCUGAUGAUUUGAAGAAGAGAAGAGAGCCUCACAUCUCUGCUUUAAGAUGCCCUGCUGUGCCAUGAUGAUGAGCUGGAAGGACGCCGGAUCGCCUUCAUCCUGUACCUGGUUCCUCCCUGGGACAGGAGCCUGGGUGGUACCCUGGACCUGUACAGCAUUGAUG
rnacentral:sRNA from 1 species